rnacentral:lncRNA from 1 species
UCUCGAGCUGUCAUCGCCAACGUUUGAAGAUAUCUCGUCUAUGUAAACAGGCUGCUUAGCGUCGGUCAAAGCGCUCUCUGACUUUGAUAGUGAGAUGAUGGCUGCUUCGUCUACGCUUAGAGAGUUCCUAGCGGAGCCUCCUCCGAGGUUGGAGUCUUUCACGGAUGACAUGCUUGAUACUGAGAUACGCUCAGCUUCCUUUACUGAUAACACAUCUGAAAGCAAUAAAACAUGUAAACUAUAUCCUAAGGGUGUUUAAAGAAGGUUCCUUUUUGUACCUUCAACGCUGUGAAAAUCAUCAUCACAGUCUGUUUCAAAGGCGAGGUUGGAAUCAAACCAUGCUUCAUCAGCGCUUGCUGUUUGAUUUAAACAAAAAAGUUCCAAUCUUUAAUCACAAAUUGUUAGCUAAUGAAUGGAUCAAAGGCUUUAAAGGUUAAGCCUUUGAGAUAGGCAAGAGAGAGAUGCAUAAGCCCAUGAAGCUGAAUUGAUGAUAAAACGUGAAAUCAAGAACAAGAUCAAGAGAGAGAGAGAGGGACCUUGGAAGGUGGGAUUGGUGAAGGAAGGAAGGUGAGAUCCGUCAGAUAAGCGAGAAGAAGAGACAGCUCUCUUCUUAUGAAUCUUUCGUCUUGUCCGAUUCUUUCUCCUCUUGCUUGACCUUACUCUCCCUCCUACGCAGCUCUUAGGCGUUGACACGCAACCUCCCAUCUCUCUCUCUUCUCUGAUCUCCAAAAAAUCACAACUUUUUAGAGAGAGAAAGCUGGUUCCUUUCUGUCUUUCUCUCUCCUCUCUCUCUCUCUCUGACCAAAAAAUCAGGCAGGAUCUGGCAGACACGAUCCACAAAAAUCAACUAAUAAGGAAAAACCCAGAAAGUUUUAGAGAGAAAUGUGGUUCCUUUUUCACGAGAGGAGAGAGAGAGAAGAAGAAGGAGACACAGACAACUAGACAAACAGUUUGGUGAGGAAGAUGAACUUCUUCUUCUUCUUUACUUCCAAACAAUAAUCAGUAAAUAGAAGAAAGAAAAGAAAUAUUAAUAUAUAUAAAAUAUUAACAAUAGUUUAAAAAUAAAAAUACAUAAAUUUUUUUUAAUUAUUUCUAUGUAUAAUAAUACAAAAUUUACAUAAAAUUUAUAUAUACUAUUAGAAAAAUGAAAAUAUAUUAAAUAAAAUUAGUUUUUAUAUAUAGAUAUUACUAUUUUUGAAAUAGUUAUUAAUAAAAUUUACGGAUCCGGAUAUCCGGACUAAAAAAUCAAGAUAUCCGGAUCCGGAUUCGGCUUUGACGGAUCCAACAUUUUACUAUCCGGAUCCGGAUUCGGCCUCUCCGGAUAUCCGGAUUUUCGGAUCGGAUUCGAAUCGGAUCACGGAUCGAAUCCGGAUCUCGGAUAAAAGUUUCAGUCCUAGGUCUGCGGACAUCACAUCUGCUCCGUAUCCAAAAUAUAGUUGUCAAGUAUUCCGGGCCAUGCUGGGCAGGACUCGCAGAUUUUGAAUCAUAUUCCCAUCACUAACUGCAAGUAUAGGAUCCAACUAGUGUUAUGUCUGCUAGAGCGCAAGAUUGUGUGAUUCUUUCGCAGUGUUUUGAUCUCACACAAGAGAUAUGCUUAUAUUUCCAUCAACGGAUUGAAAAUCAAAUGGCCAAAUUUUUUUCACUAUUGGGUUUUCCUUCAAAACGAAAACAAGCUCUUAGAUCUUUGUGUUCUUAAGGGAUAAAAAUAAAUAAAGAAAAAUACAAUUAAAAAGUUAAUUUUUAUGUUCGUCAUAGAAAUUCUUGACCAAGAGCUAACUGAUGAUAAUUCAUGUAAUCAAUCCCAUUUAACCGAACGCAACACAGAAUCUGCUCCGGUAACUCCUCCGGUUUAUUCCCCUGCAAAAAUGAGAUUUCACAAGUCAAAAUAACCAUUAGAAAGUACCAAACUUUCCUAAAAAAAAAAACAGACUGCAAUUUAUUUUACCUGAAUAGUUAGUCCAACAUCAAGAACACAGUUCUUGAGCCUAUCUAAAAAUGCUUCAAACCCUUUCCGUGAUAUGUAGCUGAAUCUAUGCAUAUCAAUAUCAAUCUCAAAGUAGUUUUCACCCUACAAACAUCAAAACUUGAAAUGUUAGUUUAAGAAACAGGAUUUGCAUUUUGUUUUGUUAGAUACUUGUUGUCGCAUACCGAAUAAAACUCAUGUUGUGGACGUGAAAGCACAGGCUUUUCAUUAUAAGCAUUCAUGAGCUUCUUCUCUGCACCAUUCAACUGGAGAUCAUCUACGUUUGCAACACGCCCCAGUAUUUUUAACCGUUCUCUAAACGGCACAUUUGCAUCCAUAGCAAAGCCUCUAACUUUCUCAACCUCAUCAUCUAUCAAUCUCUACAAAGAGAUUUCAAAAACAUGUAUGAGAGCACAUAUCAAGGAAAAAAAUGAACAGAAUCAAGAAGUGGGGAGAUUAGUUUACCUGAAUGCUUUCUUGAAAAUGAGGUGGAAGCUCUUUUAAAUAAUUAUCAGAAAGUUUAAAGUAUAAAACAAAGUUCAUCCCUUCUCCAUCAGUUUCACCUUGAAAGAUUGCAGCUGGAUACAAAGGAAUCUACAAGAGGAUUCAAAGUUAAACACAAACCCACAAGAAACACCAAUUCAAGAAGGGUUUAGACAAUGUACCUGAACAUUUACAACGAGGAUAGAUGGGAGCUUGGUCGGGGUUGUACUAACAACAGGAAGCUCCACGUAUUGCGCUAUAUGGUUUAUUUUACGUUGCGAUAAGAAUACAUCAACACCAAAGGGAUUAUAUGCAGCAUAGUUUGGAGCAAACUCUUUCUUCUUUUCUCUACCAAAACAAAACAAAAUCAUCUCAGUUUUGCAUCAGUACUCAAAACAAGAAAGCUCUCUUUGUAUGUUUAUUUACCUGAAAUAAGUUUUGCUACGAACACGGAAGCUACUUGGCUCAAUGAUAGACCAACAAUCCAACAUCUUCUUUUCAAGCGGACAGAAAGGAACCUGAGUACCUGCCACAGGUCUCUGCAACUGCAUUUUCGUAGAAACUGUAGAGAAACAAAAGUGAGUUUCUUUCAGAAUCAAAUGCCAUGGAGAAUCUACAAAAGUUGAUAACUUACAUAAAGGACCAGUAGCGUGACCUUCUCUCCACUUGAAAGACAGUUUAAGCGCAGCUUUCUUCCUCGUACCCGGAGGACUCGAGCUCAAAGACCUUCUCUUUUCAAUAGAAGGAACGGUUGAGUUAAGACAAGGCAAACAGUUGCUGGGGAGAAUCCCACAGCUUUCCAGCAACCCUUCGUCUUUUCUCGAGCUGUCAUCGCCAACGUUUGAAGAUAUCUCGUCUAUGUAAACAGGCUGCUUAGCGUCGGUCAAAGCGCUCUCUGACUUUGAUAGUGAGAUGAUGGCUGCUUCGUCUACGCUUAGAGAGUUCCUAGCGGAGCCUCCUCCGAGGUUGGAGUCUUUCACGGAUGACAUGCUUGAUACUGAGAUACGCUCAGCUUCCUUUACUGAUAACACAUCUGAAAGCAAUAAAACAUGUAAACUAUAUCCUAAGGGUGUUUAAAGAAGGUUCCUUUUUGUA